rnacentral:rRNA from 1 species
GAUGAACGCUGGCGGCGUGCCUAAUACAUGCAAGUCGAGCGAACGGACGAGAAGCUUGCUUCUCUGAUGUUAGCGGCGGACGGGUGAGUAACACGUGGAUAACCUACCUAUAAGACUGGGAUAACUUCGGGACACCGGAGCUAAUACCGGAUAAUAUUUUGAACCGCAUGGUUCAAAAGUGAAAGACGGUCUUGCUGUCACUUAUAGAUGGAUCCGCGCUGCAUUAGCUAGUUGGUAAGGUAACGGCUUACCAAGGCAACGAUGCAUAGCCGACCUGAGAGGGUGAUCGGCCACACUGGAACUGAGACACGGUCCAGAGGCCUACGGGGGGCAGCAGUAGGGAAUCUUCCGCAAUGGGCGAAAGCCUGACGGAGCAACGCCGCGUGAGUGAUGAAGGUCUUCGGAUCGUAAAACUCUGUUAUUAGGGAAGAACAUAUGUGUAAGUAACUGUGCACAUCUUGACGGUACCUAAUCAGAAAGCCACGGCUAACUACGUG